rnacentral:rRNA from 1 species
CCUACGGGGGGCAGCAGUGAGGAAUAUUGGUCAAUGGACGAGAGUCUGAACCAGCCAAGUAGCGUGAAGGAUGACUGCCCUAUGGGUUGUAAACUUCUUUUAUAUGGGAAUAAAACGUUCCACGUGUGGGAUUUUGUAUGUACCAUAUGAAUAAGGAUCGGCUAACUCCGUGCCAGCAGCCGCGGUAAUACGGAGGAUCCGAGCGUUAUCCGGAUUUAUUGGGUUUAAAGGUAGCGUAGGUGGAUUGUUAAGUCAGUUGUGAAAGUUUGCGGCUCAACCGUAAAAUUGCAGGUGAAACUGGCAGUCUUGAGUACAGUAGAGGUAGGCGGAAUUCGUGGUGUAGCGGUGAAAUGCUUAGAUAUCACGAAGAACUCCGAUUGCGAAGGCAGUUCACUGGACUGCAACUGACACUGAGGCUCGAAAGUGUGGGUAUCAAACAGGAUUAGAUACCCUUGUAGUC